rnacentral:rRNA from 1 species
GAUGAACGCUGGCGGCGUGCCUAAUACAUGCAAGUCGAGCGAACAGAUGAGGAGCUUGCUCCUCUGACGUUAGCGGCGGACGGGUGAGUAACACGUGGAUAACCUACCUAUAAGACUGGGAUAACUUCGGGAAACCGGAGCUAAUACCGGAUAAUAUAUUGAACCGCAUGGUUCAAUAGUGAAAGACGGUUUUGCUGUCACUUAUAGAUCGAUCCGCGCCGCAUUAGCUAGUUGGUAAGGUAACGGCUUACCAAGGCAACGAUGCGUAGCCGACCUGAGAGGGUGAUCGGCCACACUGGAACUGAGACACGGUCCAGACUCCUACGGGAGGCAGCAGUAGGGAAUCUUCCGCAAUGGGCGAAAGCCUGACGGAGCAACGCCGCGUGAGUGAUGAAGGUCUUCGGAUCGUAAAACUCUGUUAUUAGGGAGGAACAAAUGUGUAAGUAACUAUGCACGUCUUGACGGUACCUAAUCAGAAAGCCACGGCUAACUACGUG